UGGGGAAUAUUGCACAAUGGGCGCAAGCCUGAUGCAGCCAUGCCGCGUGUAUGAAGAAGGCCUUCGGGUUGUAAAGUACUUUCAGUCGGGAGGAAGGUGGUAAGGUUAAUAACCUUGGCAAUUGACGUUACCGACAGAAGAAGCACCGGCUAACUCCGUGCCAGCAGCCGCGGUAAUACGGAGGGUGCAAGCGUUAAUCGGAAUUACUGGGCGUAAAGCGCACGCAGGCGGUCUGUCAAGUCAGAUGUGAAAUCCCCGGGCUCAACCUGGGAACUGCAUCUGAUACUGGCAAGCUUGAGUCUCGUAGAGGGGGGUAGAAUUCCAGGUGUAGCGGUGAAAUGCGUAGAGAUCUGGAGGAAUACCGGUGGCGAAGGCGGCCCCCUGGACGAAGACUGACGCUCAGGUGCGAAAGCGUGGGGAGCAAACAGG
rnacentral:rRNA from 1 species